GCCCCCGUAGCCCAAUUGGCAGAGGCGGUCGACUUAAAAUCGAUUCAGUGCCGGUUCGAGCCCGGUCGGGGGCA
rnacentral:tRNA from 1 species